rnacentral:rRNA from 1 species
AUUGAAUGCUGGCGGCAGGCCUAACACAUGCAAGUCGAACGGUAACAGGAAGAAGCUUGCUUCUUUGCUGACGAGUGGCGGACGGGUGAGUAAUGUCUGGGAAACUGCCUGAUGGAGGGGGAUAACUACUGGAAACGGUAGCUAAUACCGCAUAACGUCGCAAGACCAAAGAGGGGGACCUUCGGGCCUCUUGCCAUCGGAUGUGCCCAGAUGGGAUUAGCUAGUAGGUGGGGUAACGGCUCACCUAGGCGACGAUCCCUAGCUGGUCUGAGAGGAUGACCAGCCACACUGGAACUGAGACACGGUCCAGACUCCUACGGGAGGCAGCAGUGGGGAAUAUUGCACAAUGGGCGCAAGCCUGAUGCAGCCAUGCCGCGUGUAUGAAGAAGGCCUUCGGGUUGUAAAGUACUUUCAGCGGGGAGGAAGGGAGUAAAGUUAAUACCUUUACUCAUUGACGUUACCCGCAGAAGAAGCACCGGCUAACUCCGUG